AGUGAACGCUGGCGGUAGGCCUAACACAUGCAAGUCGAACGGCAGCACAGUAAGAGCUUGCUCUUACGGGUGGCGAGUGGCGGACGGGUGAGGAAUACAUCGGAAUCUACUUUUUCGUGGGGGAUAACGUAGGGAAACUUACGCUAAUACCGCAUACGACCUACGGGUGAAAGCAGGGGAUCUUCGGACCUUGCGCGAUUGAAUGAGCCGAUGUCGGAUUAGCUAGUUGGCGGGGUAAAGGCCCACCAAGGCGACGAUCCGUAGCUGGUCUGAGAGGAUGAUCGAACACACGGGAACGGAGACACGGUCCACCCCCCGACGGGAGGCAGCGGGGGGGAAUUUGGGAAAAGGGGCGGAAGCGUAAUCCCACCACAACGGGGGGGGGAAGAGGGCCUGGGGGUUGUAAAGCCUUUUUGGUGGGAAAAAAAAGGCGCAGGUUAAACCCCCGGUGUUUUGACGGUACCCAAAAAAAAAACACCGGCAAAUUUGGU
rnacentral:rRNA from 1 species